rnacentral:tRNA from 1 species
GGCCUCAUAGCUCAGGGGACAGAGCACCACUCUCCUAAAGUGGGUGUCGGAGGUUCGAAUCCUCCUGGGGCCACAA